CAAGUACUCCCUCCGUACGGAAUUACUUGUCAUCAAAAUGGAUGUGUCUAGAACUAAAAUACAUCUAUAUACAUCCAUUUCAAUGACAAGUAUUUUCGGAUGGAGGGAGUACAAG
rnacentral:pre_miRNA from 1 species